rnacentral:rRNA from 1 species
GUCUACGACCAUACCACCCGGAAAACACCGGUUCUCGUCUGAUCACCGAAGUUAAGCCUGGUCGGGCGAAGUUAGUACUUGGAUGGGUGACCGCCUGGGAAUACUUCGUGUUGUAGGCU